CGGACGGGUGAGUAAUGCUUGGGAAUCUGGCUUAUGGAGGGGGAUAACUACGGGAAACUGUAGCUAAUACCGCGUAGUAUCGGAAGAUGAAAGUGUGGGACCGCAAGGCCACAUGCCAUGAGAUGAGCCCAAGUGGGAUUGGGUAGUUGGUUAGGUAAAGGCUGACCAAGCCGACGAUCUCUAGCUGGUCUGAGAGGAUGACCAGCCACACUGGAACUGAGACACGGUCCAGACUCCUACGGGAGGCAGCAGUGGGGAAUAUUGCACAAUGGGGGGAACCCUGAUGCAGCCAUGCCGCGUGAAUGAAGAAGGCCUUCGGGUUGUAAAGUUCUUUCGGUGAUGAGGAAGGCGGUUGUUUUAAUAGAACAAUCGAUUGACGUUAGUCACAAAAGAAGCACCGGCUAACUCCGUGCCAGCAGCCGCGGUAAUACGGAGGGUGCGAGCGUUAAUCGGAAUAACUGGGCGUAAAGGGCA
rnacentral:rRNA from 1 species